GCCCGGGUGGUCUAGUGGUAUGAUUCUCGCUUAGUAUGUAUCCACUACCACAAUUAUAAUCCUAUACCAAUUAACUAACAACAUCUUCAGGGGUCACAACCCAAGCAUAUCUGCGAGAGGUCCCGCGUUCGAUCCGCGGCUCGGGCC